CAGAGUUGGAGCAGCAGUGCUAUCAGAUAACAUCUCUAGGAUACUUCACACCAUCUGACUGUGAUUAAGAGAAUCCUGGGGCUCUCUGAUGGUCAGAAGCGAUUUCUCCUGUUCCUCGUGGAGUUUCAGGGAAGACUGGAGCUCGGUGAUGUUCUGGAGGCUUUAGAGGACGACGAGUGGAUAUCUCGUCUGCAGCGGUAGAGGACGAUGAGUGUACGCCUGCCUGCAGCGGUAGAGGACGAUGAGUGUACGUCUGCCUGCAGCGGUAGAGGACGAUGAGUGUACGUCUCGUCUGCAGCGGUAGAGGACGAUGAGUGUACGUCUCGUCUGCGGCACUGGGGUUUGGCUCUGAAGCUGGAAACACACCUGUGUUUUAUAAGAGUGAGAAAUGUCCAGUGCAGGUCCACGGCCAGUCGAAACUUUUCGGUGGACCACAGAAACGUCUUUGUGGAUUCCAUCCUCCUAAAGUGUUCAUUUCAGACUUUCAGGUGAUCAUCUCUUUCAUGUCACGUCACUGUGGACCUGCACAACUAUAUUUGUGACCACACUCAUGUGCUUUAAAUGUCCUCUGCUGUGGGAUGCAGAAAUAAUUGUUGCAAUAUUUAUUUACAAAAUCUCAAUAAAGUGAUGUUUAUGUAACAAAAUGCACUGGAAGAAAGACAGACAGGCAAAAGUUCACCAAGCAGAGCUUCUUUAUUUUCUUUCGUUUUCACCCUGGCGUUUUCCUUUCCAGUGCUCACACCAGGGUUCACCCACACACUCGUGGUUCGGGACGCCUUUCCCUCUUGAUGUUCGCCGGUGGUCCCUCCCUCACGCUUUCUCACUUUAGCGCCCGCCAGAGUUUCCUCACACACCGGCACAACUUUUCUUUGCGUCCACCAGAGUUCACCCGAGUCUGCGCUUAUUUCCCCUUUUUGUUCUCGUGUCUCUCCUCUUUAUUGGCGUCACCAGACUGAAACAGAGCUCUGAUUAGUCUCAUCAGCUGCAGGUGUUUCUUACCGCUCGUGCCGUCCGGCUCCGCCUCCACUCGCGCACCGUUGCUACAGUUUACAUCCCUAAUCAUAUAGAACAAUAUCUGCUUUAUCUAUUCCCAUUUCUCAUCCAGUGAUCAAAUAGUGGAAGCACUGAGAUCAGUGUAAAACACUUUGGUUUUUGCUCAAGUGUGUUAAAGUGUGUUAUAUUUAUAGAUCUUCAUUUCACUUCACUUCUGCCCUCAGACUCUCACUAGUGUACAGAGAUGAUUGUGGAUUAAACAUAUUCAUCCGUAUC